CGGGGGAUGCGGGCAGUCGCGGAGGACCCGAAAGGGCUUCCGAGGAAAGUCCGAACUCCGCAGAGCAGCGUGCCGGCUAACCGCCGGGCGGACUCCCGGAAGGGAGGGCCGACGGAAAGUGCCACAGAAACCAGACCGCCAAUCCGCUCGUGUGAGCCUGAGCUCGCACGAGGUCAUGGAGGCAAGGGUGAAAGGGUGGGGUAAGAGCCCACCAGCACCUCGGGUAACCGGGGUGGCUUGGCAAACCCCACGCGGAGCAAGACCAAAUAGGGAUGGAGACCCUGCUGCAAGGGUAACGGGUGGCUCGCCCGUGCGGGUGCUGAAGCACCUCCUCCAUCCGGGUAGGUCGCUGGAGGACAUGGGAAACCAUGUUCCCAGAUACAUGACUGCCUCCCCCAAGUUUGGGGCAGACAGAAUUCGGCUUAUAGCAUCCCCCGCUUU
rnacentral:RNase_P_RNA from 1 species